AACGAACGCUGGCGGCGUGCCUAACACAUGCAAGUCGAACGGGGAUGGGGAGCUUGCUUCCUAUUCUAGUGGCGCACGGGUGAGUAACGCGUAGAUAAUCUGCCUGAUGAUCUGGGAUAACACCUCGAAAGGGGUGCUAAUACCGGAUAAGCCCACGGGGUCUUUGGACUUUGCGGGAAAAGGGGGGGACCAUUUGGCCUUCUGUCAUCAGAUGAGUCUGCGUACCAUUAGCUAGUUGGUAGGGUAAAGGUCUACCAAGGCUACGAUGGUUAGCUGGUCUGAGAGGAUGAUCAGCCACACUGGAACUGAGACACGGUCCAGACUCCUUCGGGAGGCAGCAGUGGGGAAUUUUGCGCAGUGGGCGAAAGCCUGACGCAGCAACACCGCGUGGAGGAUGAAGGUCUUCGGAUUGUAAACUCCUGUCAGUGGGGAAAAAGGGGAACGUGCUCAUACCACGUUUCAUUGAUUGUACCCGCAGAGGAAGCCCCGGCUAACUCUGUGCCAGCAGCCGCAGUAAUAC
rnacentral:rRNA from 1 species